rnacentral:rRNA from 1 species
UACAUAGGGGGCAAGCGUUAUUCGGAAUUAUUGGGCGUAAAGGGCGCGUAGGCGGCCUGGCAAGUGGAAGGUGAAAUCCCUCGGCUUAACCGAGGAACUGCCUCCCAAACUGCUUGGCUUGAGACCGGGAGAGGUGAGUGGAAUUCCCAGUGUAGCGGUGAAAUGCGUAGAUAUUGGGAGGAACACCAGUGGCGAAGGCGGCUCACUGGACCGGUACUGACGCUGAUGCGCGAAAGCGUGGGGAGCAAACGGG